rnacentral:rRNA from 1 species
ACGGGGGGGGGCAAGCGUUGUUCGGAAUUACUGGGCGUAAAGGGCUCGUAGGCGGCCGACUAAGUCAGACGUGAAAUCCCUCGGCUUAACCGGGGAACUGCGUCUGAUACUGGUGGGCUUGAGUUUGGGAGAGGGAUGCGGAAUUCCAGGUGUAGCGGUGAAAUGCGUAGAUAUCUGGAGGAACACCGGUGGCGAAGGCGGCAUCCUGGACCAUAACUGACACUGAUAAGCGAAAGCCAGGGGAGCAAACGGGA